rnacentral:lncRNA from 1 species
AGGGAGGUAACUGAAAGCAGGACCUGCCUUUGAGAAGCUUAGGGAAGCAAACAGACCCAUGUCAAACUAAGUAAUCAAGCACUAGCCUGUGUUGCAGACGGCCUUAGACUAGGCAGGAGGGGCCCCUGGGGGCUGAGACUGGGGGGAGGCUUCCUGAAGGAGGCAGGAUUUGAACUGACCCGUGAAGUAUAUAGAGACUGAUUUGUUAGGGGCGGGCGGGGCCUUCCAAGCAGAGGGAGCCACUUGAGCAAAGGAUUCCUGGGCAGGAAUAAGUUGGGGUGGCAGGGGCAGGAGUGAGGGGACAAAGGGGUGAUUGAGGUGAGAGGCGCCCGGAGCCCAUCGUGGUGCCCAACUUCUUCCUGCCGCCCCGGCAGCUGGAAGCCUCUCUGCGGGUGCUCUCACUGUCUGCAGCUUUGCCACCACCAGCCGCCACAGAUCAGGUAAGAAAACAGCCAGCCAACCUGCCGCCUCCCGUAGAGCUGUCGCCUCUUCCGUAAGCAUGUACCGCACGCAGAGCUGCCCCAGCCAUGUCCUGGAGAGGCAGCAGCAGGGCUCACUCUCCAAGCUUGGAGCUGAGCCUGAGCCGUGGGCUCAGCAGUGAGAGGAGCUCAGGAGAGGCGAGCAAGAGCAGCUGUGUUAAGAGCGAGGGCGUCAUCAGCUAAGGUGACAGAAGAGACAACACAGAAGCAUAAAAGUAGGACUCGGCCAAGGAGCGGAUCCUGAGUGCUGUGGGAGCUCCAGCCAAGCAAAGGUGGGUUUGAACGGAGGAAGCUUCUAACGAGAUGCAUCCUGGGGCGCCCCUGGCAGGUGAGUAAGGUCUGGAUGAAGGGAGAGAGGGCUAACAAAGCAGCUCGAAACGAUUCAUCACGCAGCUGAGUUAGGUGGUUGGAACCUUGGUGCAAAUCCCCGCUCUCCUCUCUUCUGCCUUGGCACAGCACCUGACCUUUCCGGCACAUGGCAAGAAAAUAAUAUCUACUGCUCUCGUCAUUCAGCCUGUAAUUCGUAUUUCAGGUGACUGUGCUGUAAAUAGCACAGGCAUUGUGCUGGCUGCUGAGCAUAGAGUAGUAAAUAAAGCAAAUACCCCGUCCUAAUGAUUGCGUUCAGUAAGUCAAAAGGAUACGCACACAUAUUUACAGAUUGCGAUGAGGACUGGAUGCUUUGGGAAAGAACUGGCUCUCUGAGGAGCAGUGUUUGAAGCUCUUUAUAGUAACGCAUUAGUUCAGCAACCUAAUGAACUGUCCCUAAAUUAAGAUGAAACAAUUCCCGUUGUGGUACAGUAGUAACAGACCCUACUAGUAUCUGUGAGGAUGCAAGCUCCAUCCCUGGCCUCACUCGGUGGGUCAAGGAUCUGGCUUUGCCUCGAGCUCUGGUGUGGGUCACAGACUCAGCUCAGGUCCCGUGUGGCUGUGGCUGUGGUGCAGACUGGUGGCUACAGGUCUGAUUCGACCCCUAGCCUAAGAACUUGCGUAUGCCACAGUUAAA